GACGAACGCUGGCGGCGUGCCUAAUACAUGCAAGUAGAACGCUGAAGAGAGGAGCUUGCUCUUCUUGGAUGAGUUGCGAACGGGUGAGUAACGCGUAGGUAACCUGCCUUGUAGCGGGGGAUAACUAUUGGAAACGAUAGCUAAUACCGCAUAACAAUGGAUGACACAUGUCAUUUAUUUGAAAGGGGCAAUUGCUCCACUACAAGAUGGACCUGCGUUGUAUUAGCUAGUAGGUGAGGUAAUGGCUCACCUAGGCGACGAUACAUAGCCGACCUGAGAGGGUGAUCGGCCACACUGGGACUGAGACACGGCCCAGACUCCUACGGGAGGCAGCAGUAGGGAAUCUUCGGCAAUGGGGGCAACCCUGACCGAGCAACGCCGCGUGAGUGAAGAAGGUUUUCGGAUCGUAAAGCUCUGUUGUAAGUCAAGAACGGGUGUGAGAGUGGAAAGUUCACACUGUGACGGUAGCUUACCAGAAAGGGACGGCUAUCUACGUG
rnacentral:rRNA from 1 species